rnacentral:lncRNA from 1 species
AAAGCCCUCCAAGCUAAAGAAGAUAAUGAGGACUCUGAUAAAGACGACGCUGAUGAUGAGGAAGAGUUAUCCCUUCUAACCAGAAGAGUAAAACAAAUUUGGAGAAAAAGUAAUAACAACUUCAGAAGACCAAGACCCAAGGUAGAUCGCUCAGAAUCAACUUCCAGAGGAAAAUCAAACAAAGAGGUAACAUGCUAUGAAUGUAAAGAACCAGGUCACUAUAGAAACGAAUGCCCAAAGCUUAA